UACGUAGGGGGCAAGCGUUGUCCGGAAUCAUUGGGCGUAAAGAGCGUGUAGGCGGCUCGGUAAGUCCGCUCUGAAAGCCCGGGGGCUCAACCCCGGGAGGCGGGCGGAUACUGUCGGGCUAGAGUCCGGAAGAGGCGAGUGAAUUCCUGGUGUAGCGGUGAAAUGCGCAGAUAUCAAGGAGGAACACCAAUGGCGAAGGCAGCUCGCUGGGACGGUACUGACGCUGAGACGCGAAAGCGUGGGGGGAGCAAAC
rnacentral:rRNA from 1 species